AUUGAACGCUGGCGGCAGGCCUAACACAUGCAAGUCGAACGGUAGCACAGAGAGCUUGCUCUCGGGUGACGAGUGGCGGACGGGUGAGUAACGUCUGGGAAACUGCCCGAUGGAGGGGGAUAACUACUGGAAACGGUAGCUAAUACCGCAUAACGUCGCAAGACCAAAGUGGGGGACCUUCGGGCCUCACACCAUCGGAUGUGCCCAGAUGGGAUUAGCUAGUAGGUGGGGUAAUGGCUCACCUAGGCGACGAUCCCUAGCUGGUCUGAGAGGAUGCGCAGACACACUGGAACUGAGACACGGUCAAGACUCCGACGGGAGGCAGCAGUGGGGAAUAUUGCACAAUGGGCGCAAGCCUGAUGCAGCCAUGCCGCGUGUAUGAAGAAGGCCUUCGGGUUGUAAAGUACUUUCAGCGGGGAGGAAGGCGGUGAAGUUAAUAACUUCACCGAUUGACGUUACCCGCAGAAGAAGCACCGGCUAACUCCGUGCCAGCAGCCGCAGUAA
rnacentral:rRNA from 1 species